rnacentral:lncRNA from 1 species
CUUUGUGUGAGCAAUAAAAGCUUUUAAUCACCUGGGUGCAGGCGGGCUGAGUCUGAAAAGAGAGUCCGGGAAGGGAGAUAAGGGUGGGGCCGUUUUAUAGGAUUUGGGUAAAUAAAGGAAAAUUACAGUCGAAGGGGAGUUGUUCUCUGGCGGGCAGAGUGGGGGGUCACAAGGUGCUCAGUGGGGGAGCUUUUGAGACAGGAUGAGCCAGGAGAAGGAAUUUCACAAGACAAUGUCAUCAGUUAAGGCAAGAACAGGCCAUUUUCACUUUUUUUGUGGUGGAAUGUCAUCAGUUAAGGUGGGGCAGGGCAUAUUCACUUCUUUUGUGGUUCUUCAGUUACUUCAGGCCAUCUGGGCGUAUAUGUGCAAGUCACAGGGGAUGCGAUGGCUUGGCUUGGGCUCAGAGGCCUGACAUUCCUGCCUCCUUAUAGUAAUAAGAAAAAUAAAACAAAAUAGUGUUGAAGUGUUGGGGCGGCGAAAAUUUUUGGGGGGUAUAGAGAGAGAGAAUGGGCGAUGUUUCUCAGGGCUGCUUCAAGCGGGAUUAGGCGUGGCAUGGGAACCUAGAGUCGGAGAGAUUCAGCUGAAGGGAGAUCUUGUGGUAAGGGGUGAUAUUGUGGGGUUGUUAGAAGAAACAUUUGUCAUAUAGAAUGAUUGGUGAUAGCCUGGAUACGGUUUUGGAUGAAUUGAGAAACUAAAUGGAAGAUACAAGGUCCAAAUAAAAGAAGGAGAAAAAUAGGUAUUAAAGGACUAAGAAUUGGGAGGACCCAGGACAUCCAAUUAGAGAGUGCCCAAGGGGAUUCAGCAUAAUUACUUGCUUGGUUGGCAAGUUUUUGGGUUCUAUCCUUGAGUUUUUUUAUGUUCUCAUACACCAAGCCAGAUUGAUUUAGGUAAAAACAACACUCUUCAUUUAACAAUAUACUGAGUCCAAGGCCUCGGCGGUUUUGGAGGACAACUGCAGCUAAAGAGUCAACUUGGGCCUGGAGGACUGAUAAAGUUUGUGAUAUGUCUGUGAUGCUAGCAGAGAAGUCAUUAGACGGGCUACGGAAGGUCGUGACAGAGGUUGAAAUGCCUGCUAUUCCAGUACUGAGAGCAAUAGUGGAGGCAGAAAGUCCUAAACCGACCAUCAAGGGAAUUAGUGGAAUAACUCUUUUUUGUGGUGUCAGUGUCAUAAGGGGAACAGGGAGCUCUUUGGUCCCAUUUGCAAAUUGAAUUUUGGGGGUAAGGAAUACUAGUGUGCAUGUGCCUGUCCAAUUAGCAGGUAGACACAUGUAGGUAGAGGAUCCACAGAGGAAGAAGAGACCUUGUGUGAGGCAAAACUGGAGAUGUAAACUAAAAGGGUGAGAAGGAGUGCUGAAAGGGGUGUCUUGUACCCAGACUCCUAGGGAUCCAGCUAGGGCGGCAGCUGUCAAAGGUUGUAAUGGGGACUGAUGGGCUAACUGCAUAGAGGAGGAGGUUCGAUUUUCAUGGUGUAUGAGAAAACGUUGAGUAUCUACGAGCAACCUUUCACUGUUAUUUUGGGGGCUGGGUGUAAGUAAACAAGAGGAGGGCCUGGGAGGAGAGUCUGACGAGCAAGGGGAAGGUAGCCAAGGAUGGAGUGAAAUAUAGGAUGGGCUCUUGUUCUGCCACUCAGGCUGGAGUGCAGUGGUGGGAUCAUAGCUCACUGCAGCCUCAAACCCCUGGGCUCAAGCAAUCUUCUUGCCUGUUACUCCCAAGUAGCUGGUAUGAC